GACGAACGCUGGCGGCAUGCCUAACACAUGCAAGUCGAGCGAGCAGAUCCCUUCGGGGUGAAGCUAGCGGCGGACGGGUGAGUAACACGUGGGCAACCUGCCUCAUAGAGGGGAAUAACCUUCCGAAAGGAAGAUUAAUACCGCAUAACAUUACAGCUUCGCAUGAAGCAGUAAUUAAAGGAGCAAUCCGCUAGGAGAUGGGCCCGCGGCGGAUUAGCUAGUUGGUGAGGUAACGGGUCACCAAGGCGACGAUGCGUAGCCGACCUGAGAGGGUGAUCGGCCACAUUGGGACUGAGACACGGCCCAGACUCCUACGGGAGGCAGCAGUGGGGAAUAUUGCACAAUGGGGGAAACCCUGAUGCAGCAAUGCCGCGUGAGUGAUGACGGCCUUCGGGUUGUAAAGCUCUGUCUUCGGGGACGAUAAUGACGGUACCCGAGGAGGAAGCCACGGCUAACUACGUGCCAGCCGCCGCCGUAA
rnacentral:rRNA from 1 species